AGUGAAAGAAGAGCACGUGUCCCUGGUGAGUGCUUCUCUGCGAACAGGUACCAGGGAAACGGGAGGACUUCGAGCUCAAGGAGCAAACAGCAGGGCCAGAGCGUCUUCCCCCGGCCUGCGCGGAGAGACAGGCAGAUUGCACACCUGCUCCUGCCUCGGGGCCUCUGCCAGGCCCGGCGGGCCGGCUGCAGGCUCUCAGCUCCUGGCCGCUGCUCCCAGCUCCACCCGUCCUCCGGGAAGGAGCCCCUCCCAAGGCAAGUUCAACUGGGUUCCUUGGCAGCCGAAGUGUACACGGACCCCGCAGGGAGUGGUGGAGAAAAAGAUCUGGAUCCAGAGAAUCUUCAGCGAAGCCUGAACGGCUCCUGCCAAGACACCGAUUUAACAAUCUGACUCAAGGAAGCCGAGCGGCAGAAGACCAAUAUAUCGGUGAUGCUGGCCCACGAACUCUAAGGACAGCUCCUGAAGAGGAGGGGGCGCCAGACGGAGGCUUCCACGUGAUUCCUGGACAAAUCUGUUUCCCCACAGAUGGUAGUGUUAAAUCGUCUAAAACAGACUCUGCACACCCCAGCUAUAGGUGCUCCCUAGCGCUCUGCAUCCCUGGGUGGCGCCUCCUUGGACUUCAGAUGUAAGCUGUCUGAUCCCUUGGACUUCAGAUGUAAGCUGUCUGAUACAUGUUCACGCAGCCUUCUCCCGAGCCCACUAACGUCUAAUGAUACGAUCUCAAUAAAAUAC
ensembl:lncRNA